rnacentral:misc_RNA from 1 species
AAGGAGCAUCUGCGCAGGCGCCUCGAAGAGUCGAGUGUGACUGUGCCAGAGCCGUUUCGGACUCACAUGUAGUCCGGCGGAGCUCAUGGGUGGAACGCUGACAACCUCUCCCGCGUAUGGGGAAAGCCAAGUCUUUUCUCGCGGUUGAUAUGUCGACACACUGUUGGGUCCUGAAAGAACAGACGUUCUUUCCAGGCAAAAACGACGAGGCUGGCUUUCAGUCAUACCGCCGAGAAUUUUCUCGGGCUGGUGCUGGGUAAAAGGUCAGGCUUGUGUGUUGUUUGAGAACUGCACAGUGGACGCGAGCAUCUUUGUUA